rnacentral:rRNA from 1 species
GAUCAUGGCUCAGGAUGAACGCUAGCGACAGGCUUAACACAUGCAAGUCGAGGGGCAGCACAGGGUAGCAAUACUUGGGUGGCGACCGGCGCACGGGUGAGUAACGCGUAUGCAACUUACCUAUCAGAGGGGGAUAGCCCGGCGAAAGUCGGAUUAAUACCCCAUGAAACAGGGGUCCCGCAUGGGAAUAUUUGUUAAAGAUUCAUCGCUGAUAGAUAGGCGUGCGUUCCAUUAGGCAG